AGUGAACGCUGGCGGUAGGCCUAACACAUGCAAGUCGAACGGCAGCACAGUAAGAGCUUGCUCUUACGGGUGGCGAGUGGCGGACGGGUGAGGAAUACAUCGGAAUCUACUUUUUCGUGGGGGAUAACGUAGGGAAACUUACGCUAAUACCGCAUACGACCUACGGGUGAAGGCAGGGGAUCUUCGGACCUUGCGCGAUUGAAUGAGCCGAUGUCGGAUUAGCUAGUUGGCGGGGUAAAGGCCCACCAAGGCGACGACCCGUAGCUGGUCUGAGAUGAUGAUCAGCCACACUGGAACUGAGACACGGUCCAGACUCCUACGGGAGGCAGCAGUGGGGAAUAUUGGACAAUGGGCGCAAGCCUGAUCCAGCCAUACCGCGUGGGUGAAGAAGGCCUUCGGGUUGUAAAGCCCUUUUGUUGGGAAAGAAAAGCAGCAGGUUAAUACCCCGCUGUUCUGACGGUACCCAAAGAAUAAGCACCGGCUAACUUCGUG
rnacentral:rRNA from 1 species